GAUGAAGAACGUAGCGAAAUGCGAUACUUGGUGUGAAUUGCAGAAUCCCGUGAACCAUCGAGUCUUUGAACGCAAGUUGCGCCCGAAGCCAUUAGGCCGAGGGCACGCCUGCCUGGGCGUCACACGUCGUUGCCCCCCCAUCUACUCCUUCGGGAUUGCAGGGGGCGGAUGAUGGCCUCCCGUGCGCCUCGUCGCGCGGUUGGCAUAAAUGCCAAGUCCUCGGCGACGCACGCCACGACAAUCGGUGGUUGCGAAACCUCGGUUGCCCGUCGUGUGCGGUCGUCGCGCAUCGAGGGCUCGAAAAAAUUGCCGGGCUCCGGCUCGGCUUUCAACGCGACCCCAGGUCAGGCGGGGUUACCCGCUGAAUUUAAGCAUAUCAAUAAGCGGAGGA
rnacentral:misc_RNA from 1 species